UAGAAAUAUGGCUACUAGCCACCCCCCUUUUGGAUACACUUUGUUAGCCGUGUCAUUUGAUAUAGCAAAUGACACCCUUUUGUAUUUGUGGUAUUAUUUGUUUUAUGAGUACUGAUAACUGUGACAAAAUAAAAAAGCAUAAUCGACAAAAUGCUUUACAAAAAAUACAAAUUUGGAUAAACACAAAUAUCCGUAUUCAUUGCUAAAUAAAGAGCUAAAUUAAUGUAUUAUUAUUUAAUAUUCAGAUAAACAUUUUAUAUACAUACGGUUAAGGGUGUGAAGUAAUGUUAACAAACCACUCUUUUACAUUUAAUUUAUUCAAAUUUACAAAUUAAUCAUCCCUUGUUUGCAACAGUAUUGGAAAUACGCCAAAAUAUAUUAUUUUUUAACAUUUUUUCUAUUUAUUAGAGCUUUUCCUAUUAAUAAUUAAUUUAUCCAAAUUUACAAGCUAAUCAUUCCUUGUUUGCAGCAGUAUUGGAAAUACGCCAACAAUAAUAUUUUCUAUUUAAAAUUUUAUUAAAGCUUUUCCUAUUAUUAAUUUAAUACACAUACUUGGAAAUUAACUACACAUAUAUAUAGGUACUCAAUGCACUACCAUUUUUUGCACACUAGUAUCCGUAUUCAUAGUUCAUUAGCCAUGGAUUUAUGUAUGAAGGCAUAGCAAAAUCUAGUUGACUUUUUGUGCCGUUUUAAGACAAUAAAUUUACAUUUAUAUAUGUUCCAUAUAUAAGAAUUAAACAUAUCCAAUAUGAAACCGUAGUUGAUGUUGAUGUUGAUAAGAAUUAAUAAGAAUUAAACACGGAAACCGUAGUUGAUGUUGAUUAACACAUAAAACAGUAUCGAAUAUGAUUUCUAUUUACGUAUGAAAAGGAUUUCAAUAUCCAACGUGUUAAGGAGUUCUUUUAUCAUUCUUCUAUUUGCAGAACUAAUAUUUAAGCAACUAAAAAGAAGUAUUUUCACUAUUCAGAAUACAAUUGAGUUGAAAAGAAGAACUCCCAUCAGCAGGUAUUUUUUCUAGUAUCGAUCGUCUUCAAGUUUUUACUAUUCUAUAUAUAUAUAUAUCCCCUGAUACUUAAUUUUUUUGUUGAACAGUAUGGACAAGGAAUGGAUAUUUUCAGAUAAAAACAGUGACGAAUACAAUACUGGGUUGCGUGCAUUCAUCAAUCAUGCCUUACAACAUGCUUCUUUUAAGGGUCAAAUCAAGUGCCCAUGUAGUAAAUGUCAUAAUACCUACUACAAAUCUCCUGCAGUUGUUGAAGAGCAUCUCUUUAUGGAUGGCAUGGAUCCGAAAUAUGUGAACAAUCCUUGGACCGAGCACGGUGAACGCUUACCAGUUGCAGUUGAUCCUAAUUUGCCAGGAUCUUCAGAACCUCAACCAGAUUUUAAUCCAUCAGGACCGUCAUCAUCUCAGGCAAAUUUUGAUGUGCAAGAUAUGUUGCAUGAUAUAUUUGGCGUGUAUGAAGAAGAAGAUAAUUGGGAAGCACCAGGGCCUACUGAAGGUCCAUCCAUGCCCCAUGGCCCUAGCCCCGAUGUAGAAAGAUUCUACCGGCUUAUAGAUGAUGCUGAUACUGAAUUAUACCCGGGUGCAGGGAAGAAGAUGUUUGAUUUCUUGAUAAAGUUGUAUCAGUUAAAAGCAUUGCAUAGUUGGAGUGAUGUGUCGUUCACAAAGUUGCUUGAAUUGUUAAAAGCCUAUUUGCCUCCGGGGGAAACUCUUCCUGCUUCGUUUUAUUUGACAAAAAAAAUUUAUUAAAGAUCUCGGGCUGACAUACCAAAAGAUCGAUGCAUGUCCUAAUGAUUGUAUGUUAUAUCGAAAAGAUCAUGCUUCAGACACAGUUUGUCAUGUGUGUGGAACUAGUAGGUAUAAAAAGGACACAUCUGCUGACGCGACAUCCAGUAAGAAGACAGCUGCUAAGAUUCUGCGUUACUUUCCAUUAGGGCCAAGACUUCAAAGGCUGUAUAUGUCUCGCCACACCUCAGAAUUUAUGGUUUGGCAUUCCGAAAAGAGACCACGAGAUGGGGUCCUCCGCCAUCCAGCUGAUUCUCUUGCUUGGGCAGAAUUAGACAAAAUUGACUAUGAUUUUGGCUCAGAGGGUCGAAAUGUUCGUUUGGGUCUAGCCAGUGAUGGAUUCAACCCUUUUGGUAUGAUGAGCUUGUCCCAUAGUACCUGGCCUGUUAUAGUUACUGUUUACAAUCUUCCUCCUUGGUUAUGCAUGAAAAGACCGUACAUGAUGUUAUCUCUGCUUAUACCAGGCCCUAAAAGUCCUGGAGUUGACAUAGAUGUGUACCUGCAACCGUUGGUAGACGAAUUGAAAGAGUUAUGGACAGAAGGAAUUCCUACAUAUGACGCAUAUAAGAAAGAGAUUUUUCAGAUGAGGGCUGCAUUAUUGUGGACUAUAAAUGAUUUUCCUGCAUAUGCCAUGUUGUCUGGAUAUAGCACAAAGGGGUCAAAAGCUUGCUCGACUUGUGGUGAGGAGACUGAUUAUUUGACGUUGCAUCAUGGAAAGAAAGAAAUCUACAUGGGGCAUCGAAAGUGGCUUCCGAAUGACCAUAUUUUUCGUACAUGGCGCAGUAACUUCAAUGGAUCAACUGAAUAUCGUAGACCACCCAAACCAAUGACUGGGUUAGAUUGCUUGGAGGCAACUAAUACAUUGACAUUCCAACUUGGAAAGGGAAAGGAAAACGGGUCCACUCGUAAAAGAAAACGAGUUCAAAAUAAUGAUAACACAGAGUACACAGGGCCGUGGAGGAAGCAAAGUGUUUUCUUUCAGCUGCCUUAUUGGAAGAACUUAUUACUGCGUCAUAAUUUAGAUGUCAUGCAUGUUGAGAAGAAUGUUACAGAUAGUGUCAUUGGGACUUUAUUAGGAAUUGAUGGGAAAAACAAAGACAGCUUAAAGGCCCGCCUUGACAUGGUUCUAAUAGGUAUUAAGCAUUCACUACAUCCUCAGCCACGUGGUGGCCGAACAUGGUUGCCUCCAGCGAAAUACACCUUAUCCAAUGAUGAGAAGACAUUAAUAUGCAAAAUAUUUGAAUCGGUUCGGGUUUCUGAUGGAUUUUCAUCAAAUAUUCGUAGAUGUGUAAGAAUCGCUGAAAGAAAAUUAGUUGGUCUUAAAAGUCAUGAUUGUCACAUAAUCAUGCAAUAUCUACUUCCAGUGGCUAUUCGUCAUGCUCUACAACCAGACAUAGCUAAGGUGUUAUUGGAGCUCAGUGCAUUUUUCAGGCAAUUAUGCACUAAAGUUGGUACAGUAGACCAUUUUCGUGAUUUGUCCAAUCGGAUUGCUGAAACACUUUGCAAAUUAGAGAUGUUAAUGCCACCAUCUUUUUUUGACAUCAUGGUACACCUUCUGAUACACUUGGCAGAUGAAGCAGCAAUUGCAGGGCCUGUACAAUUUCGAUGGAUGUACCCAAUUGAAAGGUAUGUCUGAUAUUUUAUUUAAAUUAAUUAAUUAAACGUUUAUCUAUUAUUAUUGUCGAUUUUUUUUUGUUUAAUAAUUAUUGUCGUUGUUGUCUACUUACAUGAUUGUACAAUCAUUCGUUUGUACAAGUAGUUAUAUAAGAGGAAAAGGAAUUAAACAAUGACUCCUAAUCUUGUCUUCAUUCGUUUGUACAAGUAGUUACAUAAGAGGAAAAGGAAUUAAACAAUGACUCCUAAUCUUAUACAGGGAAAAACUCCUUCUCCUUUUAUAUAACUAAUUUAUAUAUAAAAUAAUUAAACAAUGACUACGUACACCAUUAAUAUUGUCUGUGCUUGUUAAUCAAAGAAAAUCAUUUCAUGAUUACAUCAUUAAUUAUAUUUUUGAAGAUUUUUGUUAGACUAUCUUUAAAGUUAUAUUCAUUAUAUGGUAUAGUUAACCACGACUCAUGUUGAUAUUAUCAAUGGAAAUUUUUUGAGCCAGGUACCUACAUGACUUAAAAAAAUAUGUACGCAAUCGGAGUCAGCCUGAGGGAAGCAUUGCAGAGGGUUACAUAAUUGAGGAAUGUCUAUCAUUUUGUACUAUGUAUUUGUCAGAUGGGGUCGAGUCAAAGAGAACGAGGAUUGGUCGUAAUGCUGAUGACCCGGAUAUUGUUCCUCAUGUAGGGUUACCAUUAUUUUUUAAAAGGGGACGGUCAAUAGAAUCUGGACAUGAGUUUAGACUCCCUGAUGCUGAAUGGAUACGUCUGCACACACACGUGUUAAUCAAUUGCCCUCAGAUCAAGCAACAUCUACAGUAAGUCAUUUUUUCAUUCUUGUGAUGAUGUCACUAAUAAAUUUCUUUCAUAUAUCACUAAUCGACGACGUAUGUUUGAAAUUGUUAGGGAUCAUGUAGCAAAGACUCAACGAACUAGGCAUAGACGUACAUCUUUGAUGGAGGCCGAAAAACAAGCGAACGAGUCAUUUUGGAAAUAUUUUCAAGACUUGGUAGGAUUUUGUCCAAUUAAUAUAUCUCUUUUUAUCACUUAUUUCAUGUCUGACAUAUAAACCAUCAUAUGUCAAUGGUACAGAUAGAGGAAAAAGUACAACGAAAAGAAGAUGUCGAUCCAGACAUUCGAGCUUUAGCUAUAGGACCAAGUAAAGAUGCAAGGCGAUUUAACAAGUACAUCAUGAAUGGUUUUCGCUUUUUUGUCAAAUCUAUUGACGCAAAAUCAAAGACUCAAAACUGUGGUGUUUUUGUUAAAGCUGAGGUCAGUAGCUAUGCUAGAGCAGGAGAUCACAGACCAAGGGACGGUGUAAAAGACUACUAUGGUGUACUGACAGACAUUAUUGAGCUAGACUACCACCAUGGUCGAAAAGUCUUAUUAUUUGAUUGUGAUUGGGCAGAUAAUAGAGUCCGCAAUAGAGCUGUUAAAAUGGAUGAAUAUGGCUUCAUUUUGGUAAACUUUGAUCAUCUACUUCCUAAGCCAGACACUCUCAUUCUUGCUUCACAAGCCGUGCAAUUUUUCUAUAUUCAAGACCCAACUCAACCGGCUUGGCACACGGUGAUUCGAACCCGACCCAGAGAUUUGUUUGAUAUGGGCACAGACAUAGAACCCGAGCCGUAUGACGCCCAAAAUUUGGUUAAUAACGAUGACGGAAUAACAAGAACAGAUGUUGAUGGUGUUUUAGUGGAUGGGGUGAUCGAAUAAAUUCGAAAUCAUUGUUUUAUUUUAUAUUCAUAAAUUUUUUGUUUUUCUUUUUGCUUGUAUUAGCUGAACCACACAUUAAUAUUUUGUUUAUUUUCUUUUGGUUAUAAUAUUUUGUUUAAUUUCUUACGGUGGCCUAAUUUCUUACGGUGCCCUAGUUUUUUGCUUAUAUUAGUUUGUUAAUUGUCAUCCUAUACUAUGAUUCUAUCCAAUAAAUUUUAUUCUCAAUUAAAAAAAAAAACUCUUUACGGUGGCUUUAGAAUAAAAAUUCUAUUUUAUUUAAUCAUCCAAUGACUUUAUAUAUAUAAUCAUAUUAAUUCCAGAUUGAAUUAUCCAUAGUAUCGAUCAGCAUGUGAACUGGAGUAGUCCUUAUCAACUUCUGUUUCUUCUAUUUCCCGCUUGUACGCCCAAAAUGAAAAAAAAGAAAAAACAAGAACACGAAGGAGAGUGGGAAUACAAGGAAUUUAGGCGGGACGAUUGGCGCCUGAUAAGAGCCCCAAUCCCUCAAACCUCGCUAAUCGAUUAGAUUAAAAGGGCGUUCUUCUCUUCACUGACCAAGGAAGCAGCGGGAAGUAGAGGGUUUGCGGAAUCGACACGGCUGGGUUUUUAGGAAGCGGGUUCAUGUGCUUUUAGGCAUCGAAUUAAAAGACAAAAUCACCUACUUAGCAGG